UAAGUUAAACUUAUAUCACAAACACUUGAUUGUGGUACUUCUCCAUUUUGUUGAUGACAAAGGGGGAGAAGUAUGUUGAUGACAUGACAUGUUAUGCAUAAGUUUAUGAUGACAUGUUGCUUGGAUUUUUGAAUCCAAGAGUUUCUAUCAAUAUGGCAUAUUGAUAGGGGGAGUUUGUUUAAACUCCGGGAGUUAAGGUUAACUCCGUCAUCAAGUGGUUGUCAUCAUCAAAAAGGGGGAGAUUGUUGAAUCUUGUAUUUUGAUGAUGAAAC
rnacentral:lncRNA from 1 species